UACAGAGGGGGCAAGCGUUAUUCGGAAUUAUUGGGCGUAAAGGGCGCGCAGGCGGCUACGCACGUCCCUUGUGAAAUCGCUCGGCUCAACUGGGCGGGGUCAGCGGAUACGGCGUAGCUGGAGCAAGCUAGGGGGCAAUGGAAUUCCCGGUGUAGUGGUGGAAUGCGUAGAUAUCGAGAGGAACACCUGCGGCGAAGGCGGGUUGCUGGGCUGACACUGACGCUGAUGCGCGAAAGCCAGGGGAGCGAACGGG
rnacentral:rRNA from 1 species